rnacentral:piRNA from 1 species
UGGGAAAUCAUUUAAUGUGCGUGGACAGC